UUAAAAUUGUUGCAGUUAAAACGCUCGUAGUUGAAUUUCAAAGAGUCAUGGCGUUUCUGAGGUGCUACGCUUGGUUGAUCGCCCAGCACUGACCAUCUAUGAUUUUAUUGUAGAACAGUGAGCCUGGGUGUUUAGCUCCAAGAAAGUUGUCUCCUUUACAAAGUGAUUUUUCUAAGGGUCUCUUGAGUACCAGUCCUUGGGAGGUUCUUUUUACCUUGAGUAAAUUAGAGUGUUUAAAGCAAACAGAUACAACAGUUUACUGUGUUUAAAUACUACAGCAUGGAAUAAUAAUAUCGAAUGAGCCGACGUACUUUUCGUUUCUUUGUUAUUUUGGCUUAGUUACGAUUAACAGGAAUAGUUGGGGGCAUUUGUAUUCAGAUGUUAGAGGUGAAAUUCUAAGAUUAUCUGGAGACGAACAAUUGCGAAAGCAUCUGUCUAACAUAUUUUCAUUAAUCAAGAACGAAAGUUAAGGGAGUGAAGACGAUCAGAUACCGUCGUAAUCUUAACCAUAAACUAUGCCAACUAUGUUUUGGAUGUAUGAGAAAAAGGUGGAAUACUUUGUUUUACGACAUUGUCAUUCCAUUUAUGCUUCAUUCAGUACCUUAGAGAAAUCAAAGUCUUUGGGUUCUGGGGCGAGUAUUCGCGCAAGCGAGAAAGUUAAAAGAAUUGACGGAAGGGCACCACCAGGCGUGGAGCUUGCGGCUUAAUUUGACUCAACACGGGAAAACUUACUAGUAUAAGACAAGAGUAGGAUUGACAGAUUAAUAGCUCUUUCUUGAUUUCUUGGAUGGUGAUGCAUGGCCGUUUUUAGUUCGUGAAUAUGAUUUGUCUGGUUAAUUCCGAUAACGAACGAGAUCUUAACCUGCUAAUUAGCGGCGAAUACGUUAUAUUCCUACUUGAAAUUGAAUAUAGCUGAAUUUGCUUAUUUUGAAGAAUAUAUUAGGAUGCAUUAUAGUGUCCUUUUCCCUUUUCUACUUAAUUUGCUAUUCAUGCUGUUUCUUUUUUGUGUAGGAAUGUAUUCGUUUGAUUGUAAAGCUUCUUAGAGGAACGAUGUGUGUCUAACACAAGGAAGUUUAAGGCAACAACAGG
rnacentral:rRNA from 1 species